UGUCGUCAGCUCGUGUUGUGAAAUGUUGGGUUAAGUCCCGCAACGAGCGCAACCCUUAUCCUUUGUUGCCAGCGGUCCGGCCGGGAACUCAAAGGAGACUGCCAGUGAUAAACUGGAGGAAGGUGGGGAUGACGUCAAGUCAUCAUGGCCCUUACGACCAGGGCUACACACGUGCUACAAUGGCGCAUACAAAGAGAAGCGACCUCGCGAGAGCAAGCGGACCUCAUAAAGUGCGUCGUAGUCCGGAUUGGAGUCUGCAACUCGACUCCAUGAAGUCGGAAUCGCUAGUAAUCGUGGAUCAGAAUGCCAC
rnacentral:rRNA from 1 species